rnacentral:rRNA from 1 species
UGGGGAAUAUUGCGCAAUGGGGGAAACCCUGACGCAGCAACGCCGCGUGAGUGAUGAAGGUCUUCGGAUCGUAAAGCUCUGUCGUUGGGAAAGAUGGUUCGCUUGGCUAAUAUCCAAGUGAGCUGACGGUACCCAAAAAGGAAGCACCGGCUAACUCUGUGCCAGCAGCCGCGGUAAUACAGAGGGUGCAAGCGUUGUUCGGAAUUAUUGGGCGUAAAGGGCGCGUAGGCGGCCACGUAAGUCGAAUGUGAAAGCCCAGGGCUCAACCUUGGAAGUGCAUCCGAAACUGUGUGGCUUGAAUCUCGGAGAGGGUGGUGGAAUUCCCAGUGUAGAGGUGAAAUUCGUAGAUAUUGGGAGGAACACCGGUGGCGAAGGCGACCGCCUGGACGAAGAUUGACGCUGAGGCGCGAGAGCGUGGGGAGCAAACAGGAUUAGAUACCCCCGUAGUCC